GGUCUGUGAGGAUGAAUUUAUAAGGCUUGUUUCUCAAAAGAUUCGCAGUGGCCGCCUGAGAGCUUUUGCCUUUGUUGGGCUUAAGAGCUUCUGUUGUUUUUAGACUUUCUUUGAUGUCUGAGACU
rnacentral:snoRNA from 1 species